GGCUUUGGUUGGGCCUGCAGUAUGGAUGCACUUCUCUCUGUACCCACUCCUGCUUCCCUCCCUUCCAUUCCUCAGGGGUUAAUUCUAAGUAAAUGUCAUGCACACUAAAAUCCAUCUCAGAGUCUGCUUCCUGUGGAUCCCAAUCUGAGAAGACAUUUCUAACUAGUAAAGUAGCAGUAUUUACACCAGUGAACUUCACCUUCAAAGAACGCAGGAAGAACAUACUUUAGGCGGAUGGAAAGUGAUCACAAAAAGAUAAUCUGAGAUGCAAGAAGGAAUGGUAAUGGGCUACAUUAGCAAACAGGAGUAACAAAAAAUCAGAGAAUGUGCAGAACCGUUCUCAUACUGACAAAACUUAUUUUGGUGACUAAAGAAACUAGAUAAGACUAAAUAAAACUACUAUGCAUCACUCAGAUGAUGGGAGAAUCCAAUGACAGCAGCUCACGCCCCUGGAAACAUAUUUGAAUGUCAAAGAGCCAAUCCUUUAAGAUGGAUCACAAGUGGCUAACUGGACCUAAAUUCAAAUGGAGCCAAGCGGCCAUUUGCUGACUAGAGGUCACACAUGUACUCUGAGUUCCCAGAAAACUCACACCUCUGUUCAACUUUGGGGCUUCCAGAGCACACCAGAACCAGCCAAUCAGAGCUAGGCUCUAUCAACAAAUCAGGGAUCAGCAUCAUUGACCAAUCAGAGCUCAGCUGUACAGGCCUAUCAGAACUCAGUGAUUUCAAUCCUUCAUUUGCAUAAAUGGGCUUUAUUAGGGAGUUCAGAGGGAAUGAACUUUAAACCCUACCACUCACUAUUAAAUCCUACCACUCCCUUCAAUGUAAUUGUUUUCACACCCAAGACAGCCUCUCCCAGGAUUGCCAAGUAUUCACUGGCACAAGUGCUCUGUCCUCCAAAUUCCUUUUCAGAGAACUUUUGUUCACACUCCUGUCUCCACUGGCUCAGCCAAUGACGGAAUUACAGUCUCUGAGCCACAGUCGCUGGCCAAAAGUGUACAGAGGUGACCCAGGAUGCCUCGGUUUGGAUAUGAUUUGUUUGUCCCCACCCAAAAACAUGUUGAAGUGUGAUCCCCAAUGCAGCUGAUGUGGGCAGAUCAUGAGGGGCAGAUCUCUCAUGACUGGCUUGGUGCCAUUCUUCCAGUAAUGACUUAGCUCUCACUCUGGAGAAACUGGAUUCAUUCUCUCGGGAAUGCGUUAGUUUCCUCCCCUCUAGAGAGGGUUGUUACAAAGCCAGGACAUCUCUUGGGUUCUCUUUACACCUGUCCUCUUCCUGUUUUACCUUAUCUGCUAUAUUAUGAGGCAGCACGGAAGCCCUCACAGGAGCCAGGGCCAUGUCCCUGUGCUUCCCAGCCUACAGAACCAUCCGCUAAAUAAACUGCUUUCCCUUAUAGGUUACAUAGCCUCGGCAUUCUGUUAUAGUGACACAAAAUGGUUCAAGACACAGGAUGAACCAAGAAGACCCUAUCUGGGCUGUUCCUGCUGGGGCAUAGAGGAGGAAAUUGGUGUGUUUGUGUGCUAUUUAUUUGUUUGCUUGCGUGUUUUAAUGAUGGCGAUUUGAGAAUAUUAAUUCGGUGAAUAUAUGGACAUGACCCUUGCCUCCUCCAUCCAAUCAAGAGCAGGAUUUGAUUGCUACAAUUUCAAGUAGGAUUUGUGUACCCCAAUUUGUAGAAAGGACUGUUUAGGAGUUUAUGUGUGUGUGCUUACCUCACUGGUUUUCUUGCCAUAUUAUACCUUUUUAGGUAAAAAAGACUUUUUUCCCCAUUGUAAUCUGGGACCAUUUUACUAACUUCAUUGUAUUACCAGGAGGAUUUGCUUUACCUGAACGGUCUGACAGGGAGCAACCUUGCCAAGACUGGCCAUUUUGAAUGACACGUCAUUGGCGUGCUCAAUUACUUCCAUUACACUCAAUACUCAAGUUCAUAAGCCAGCUGCAGAAUAUAUCCUGAGGUACCUGCUUUAUGGAAUUAUUCACACUAUUCACCAACAAGAAGAAUAAAGUCAAUCAAUUCAAGGAGUCUCAGAACAGGAGCACAUAGACACCAAACUUUGUGGGACAACAAAUAUAAUGAAGAGUAUGUUUGCGUCUUUCAAACAAAACGAAUUAAGGAAUGAACGAAUGUUGCUCUGGACAAAGCUGCAGCUUCCACGUCCUGCAUAACUGCACUCAGUACUGACCCUGAAGAUAGGAAAAGCAAUACAACUGGUGCUAGAAACGUUAUGAGAAUGACUUGGAGGACCUGAAAAAUGAAUGAGCUCCUUGAACAAGGUUUGCCUGGAAUUUCGCUUUGCUGCAGAGACAUCUGGAAAUGUGGAUUGAGGGUGGAAAUAAAAUGAAGAUGUCCUGGAAACUUCCAACUGAUCCUUGGGUCUAAUUGGUGUGGGAUAUGCAGCACAAGCGUGACAAGCCAUGAAGUGAGAGACCCGACAGGGGCUCAGAGUCAAAAACCUAGAUAUUAGCUCCCAAAGUCCUUCCAAAUCUGCUCCAGCUCCCCACAUCACUCCUAGCUGCCCUUGACCCUCUCCACCUUUCCCCUCCCAAUUCCUUGGAAAAUAAGCAUUCCUCCCCCACCCCCACCCCCAGCUCUACGAACACAAUAGAGAAGAAAAAAUUGUCUUUUAAGAUAAUUUCCUCCAAAUCCUUCUCAGUUUCAACUGCAUGAAGACAAAAUGCAGGCUGUCAAUUCGAUGAACAGAUUGUGAUUAGG